rnacentral:rRNA from 1 species
AUUGAACGCUGGCGGCAGGCUUCACACAUGCAAGUCGAGCGAGCGGCGGACGGGUGAGUAAUGUCUGGGAAACUGCCUGAUGGAGGGGGAUAACUACUGGAAACGGUCUCUCAUACCGCAUACCAUCAGAUGUGCCAAGAUGGGAUUAGCUAGUAGGUGGGGUAAUGGCUCACCUAGGCGACGAUCCCUAGCUGGUCUGAGAGGAUGACAAGCCACAAUGGAACUGAGAAACGGUCCAGACUCCGACGGGAGGCAGCAGUGGGGAAUAUUUCACAAUGGGCGCAAGCCUGAUGCAGCCAUGCCGGGUGAGUGAAGAAGGCCUUCGGGUUGUAAAGCACUUUCAGCGAGGAGGCGUUACUCGCAGAAGAAGCACCGGCUAACUCCGUGCCAGCCGCCGCGGUAAUAC